UCAAAACCAAGCCGAUCGGACCCAGCAUGCUUUGCGCAGCCACCAUACAAAGACAUGGCGGCGCUCAAGGCCCCUCCCUGAUCCCGGCAUGCACCGGGGGAUAGGCCAGGCCUUACUACUGGGCAGGAAGAUGGCGGCACCUGGAGCGCAGCCGCAGAUCUUAGUCCAAUAUUUGGUGUUACGAAAGGAUCUAUCGCAGGCUCCGUUCUCCUGGCCAGCGGGCGCAUUGGUAGCGCAGGCUUGUCACGCAGCCACUGCGGCUUUGCACACUCACCGCGACCACCCGCACACAGUCGCCUACCUCCAGGAGCUGGGGCGCAUGCGCAAGGUGGUCCUUGAGGCCCCAGAUGAGACCACGCUAAAGGAGUUGGCUGAGACACUGCGACAAAAGAGCAUCGACCACAUGCUAUGGCUGGAGCAGCCAGAGAAUGUCGCCACUUGCAUUGCCCUCCGUCCCUACCCCAAGGAAGAAGUGAGUCAGUAUUUGAAGAAGUUCCGAUUGUUCAAAUGACUGAUGUUAGGACUUGCUUUAAUAUACUUGAGUGUCAGCUGGAUCCAGAAACUGUAUGCCAUCUGUCCCUAAGCAUCAUGUACUCCUUCCAGUGGCAACUUGCUCUUCCCUUUAAUUUACGACGAUUUCUUGAGGGUCAGACACAUGUUCACAUUAAAAUUGUUAUUAAUCCAGUGACGCCUCC